UUGCCGGCCGUGUUUAUCCGCUGCUCGGCUCUAGGAUGCACGCAGCCAUGGCCACCGCUGCCACCACCACUAGAUCGUUAUCCCUGCAUGCGCAUGCCCUCCCUUCUCCCACCACCGGUACCGCCGAGACCCUCUAAAGUCUCAUCCUCCAUCUCCCUCCGGUCAGCGGCGCUCGCCGUCAGGGGCUUAGGGCCGUUGCUUUCCCAAGCAAGCAAGGAUGCAGACCUAAGAAAGGAAUAACAAAAUGUUUCUUCGAGGAUGCGUGUCCACAUUUGGCAUUCUAGGAUUUGUUACCUUCGUCUCACAAAUUUGCAUCGUUUUGCCGUUUCAAUCUGUGAUGAUGAUGCAGAGGAGAGCUCUAGGUGGAGGAUGUUGCUCAGGAGCUGCCGUGUUUCUUUCUUUGGCCUAAUCCGGUAGCAUGUGAUUUGUCCUUCCAUAUUAAUAGUAUCUGUGUAGAAUGGUACAAGUGUGAUAAAUACUUGACUGUGUACUAGCACUCAGACUUGUGAAUUGUUUUAUUGUUAAAAAUCAUGUGCCCCUGAUCUGAUACAGUCUUAGCAGAGGCUAAGAAAGGGUUCUUACUUGUCACCGACAAGAAGAAUGGAUACUCCUUCCUCUACCCAUUUGGAUGACAGGUAAUAAACAGUCAUUGCUAAAGGGUCACAUGAUGUAAGGUUGCAUCUCAUUUCCUUCAUUUUAUUUUGAGUUUAUAACUACCCAUGAAGUGGUUUGUUCAAGGGUAAGAUAAGGUGUACGAAUCGUACAGCCUUUGGAAAGUGUGAGCGUCAACACAAUUACGACCAGCAAGAAAGACAUCAGUUGUUGGAGCUCUUAUACGAAAGGUUCUGGCCGCAUCUACACAAAAGACAGUUAAUUGAAGCAAAAGAGGCAAAUUUUACACAUUGACGACUGGAGCAAACGAAAGGAGAUGGAGAAAAUGAAGAAUAGACUGCAUACGGUCGUCGAUACCAUCAAAACUGAGGCAAAAGUAUGAGGGAGGUGCGAGAUAUAUUGUGCUGAUUUUCCUUGUUUGUUUUUUCGUUUCAGGAGGUCCAACUGAUGAGGUUCGAUGGUGAAUGUGGGGAACAUAGAUCGGUUGUACUGAUAUCUUCCUAACGUCGGCGCUGAUCCUUCAAUUUACAUGUACUGGUGAGAUUAAGAAAAUAUGUAAAUGAUCCAUCUAGGGAUGGCAAUUUCCCCAUUGGGGCCAGGGAUCCGGCAGGGACCCGCCCCCACGGGGGCGGGGGAGAAUUCUCACCCAUGGGUGAGUGGGGACGGGGCCCCGCAAACUUCCGGGGAUGGGGGCGGGGAUCGGAAUUAACCCGCAGGUGACCCGGAGGGGCCCCGGAGGUGAGUUACUUCUCUAAAAGUAGCUCAUUGCAAUAAUAUAAACCCAACAAACCCAUUCAAAAUUGACAUAUAAAAGCUCAACACCCUAGUUCCCCUCAACCAUAAUCCUUCAACCAACCCACACAACCGGGGGCUAUUGAAAUUUUAUCAUAAUAUUAUUUAGUGUAUUGCAAUAUUUUUAUGAAGUAUUAGCUCCAUCCGGUGAUGCGGGGCCCCGGUCACCCGCCGGGUCCCAUGUGGGGAUGGGGACGGGUGAUGUUUUCACCCGACUUCCUUUGCGGGGCCAGGGCCAGGGAUACCCGCAUAAGGGCGGGGACGGGGGCAUUCCGAUCCAACCCGGCCCUGCCCCGCCCUGUUGCCACCGCUAGAUCCAUCGAAUAAGCGAUGUUGAUUAGAAGGUCAUUUGUUGAGAGUGAGAAGAUCUAUACUGGCCAAAUGUCUAGGUUU